GGGGGCUAUUUUAAAUUAAAAAGUUGGUUUGUGGUGCCAAAAAUAACUAUGGUUGCCCUCA
rnacentral:tRNA from 1 species